rnacentral:rRNA from 1 species
CGGCGGACGGGUGAGUAACGCGUGGGCAACCUGCCUUACACAGGGGGAUAACAGUUAGAAAUGACUGCUAAUACCGCAUAAGACCACAGGACUGCAUGGUCCGGUGGUAAAAACUCUGGUGGUGUAAGAUGGGCCCGCGUCUGAUUAGGUAGUUGGCGGGGUAACGGCCCACCAAGCCGACGAUCAGUAGCCGACCUGAGAGGGUGACCGGCCACAUUGGGACUGAGACACGGCCCAGACUCCUACGGAAGGCAGCAG